UGGGAACCUUCCCUAUGGUUCGGAAUAGCUCAGGGGAAAAUUUGAGGUAAUACCGGAUAAGCCCUUACGGGGAAAGAUUUAUCGCCAUUGGAUGGGCCCGCGUCGGAUUAGCUAGUUGGUGAGGUAACGGCUCACCAAGGCGACGAUCCGUAGCUGGUCUGAGAGGAUGAUCAGCCACACUGGGACUGAGACACGGUCCAGACUCCUACGGGAGGCAG
rnacentral:rRNA from 1 species